AUCGAUAGGGUGAUGCAGCGCUCUGGCACCCCAGGCGAUCCGGAAUGGAGCCUCUUUACCUGAAACACCACAAACAAGAGAGAGCUAACUUUGAUCUGCCACUGACACACCUGCCCUGGACAAGACUGAGGCUCGGUCCACAAACAGGAAAUGCCCCCCAAGCCAGCACAGAGCUGAUGCGGUUGCUGUCUCCUGGUAGUGCGAUCAGUCGGAAUACCAGGACCAUGGAGGGGACAACCUCACAGGCUGCAGAAACUGCUCUGUCUUCACUGCAACUGAUGAAACCAAGGAAAGCAGAAAGAGGAAGAGGGACUUGGAAAUGUUGUGGCAAAAACAAAAACUAAAAGUGUGGUAGGUUAGCACAGCAUGUUUUAUUGGUUGCUUUUUUCUGAGGGGACUGUUUUUAAGAUUACGUUUCACUAAUUGAAUCAUUGAAUUUCACAUCAAAGGCUUCGUCUUUGUCAUUGGAAGUGAGCAUAUUUUAAUUCAGGGUCCCUCAGUGUCAAAAUUGCUUUCAGAUAAGAGAUGUUUUAUAUUUAUUCCAAUUUUUUGCUUAAAAAAAGAAAUACUCAAAGCAGCUUCCCCAAGCAUCAUAUGAAUAAAGGGGUUGUUAUUAAAUAAAAUUGCACAGUCACAAAUCACAACCUGAUUCUGUCCUUUCCUUGUUGAAUAAAAACAUAUUAGUGUCAAUAGAGCUGGUAUCUGCAAAUGCAGACUU